UGGCAGCAGAUGUUAGCUCAGGGCUAAUCUUCCUCAAAAAAAAAAAAAAAGUUUUCCUCAGUGGUUAGGACACAAUCGUUGAUGAUACAGGCAAGGGAGCAGUUGUCUCUAGGAACCAGAGGCAGGGCUCCUGCUUGUCCACCUGCUUCGUUCAGGGUAGGGUAACAUCCCUCUUCUUCCUUCCCCUCAUGGUCCCCUAUGGAGUCUUUUCUCUUCUUCCUAACAAAACAUAACGAAGCGCACAACAGUGAAUAACGCUUCAGGCUACAUGCUUUUGAAGAGCAGUAACAUAACGUUUCCAGCUACGUGUGGACUCAUUUUAUGUCUUAAUGACUAUGGAAUGAUAUGGCCAUUUACACGAGUAGAUCUGGGAGCAUCUCGAAUAAUAUUUUUAUCCUCUGGGAGUAGGUUGAGUUUCACGGAAUCUGAAAUAAUGUCUCUCUUCUGCCUUUAACAACGAGCAAACCCAUCCCUCCCUUGAGGUAGAAGCACUAUUUUCCUGCUUCCCUACUACUGCCGCGCAGCCAAUAGCCUGGUCGGUCAUGGUGAACGCUCUUCGCUGCCCCGCUAGAGUUCUAGGAACUACAUUACCCAGAAGAUCUUGCGCCAGGAGGCCGCAGGGAGGAGUGAAUGAAGGAUUAGGAUAAGGGAUUUUCGUGCGUACCCAUCAUCGCGUCGGGGCGGGACUUCCGGCAUCUUCCCCGUGGCCGCCGUUUUGGCCGAACUCUGGUGGGUUUACCUCAGUUUCCCCAUAGCCGGAUGGGAGCUGAGGUCCUGGGACCGAGGAGGCACCAGGCCCGGGCCAGGGAGCGCCGCGCCCGGCGCCUCGUCUCCCGCCGUUCCCCGCCCCGCUCCGCCCCCGAGGCCGAUGGCGGCGGCCGCGCGGAGGGAGCCGGCUCAGGCUGCUCAAAGGAAAAACAGUCGAGGAGAGUGAUGAAGACAUGGAGGCACUAGAAUCUGUUCACCCUCACACUGCUGGAAUAAAUCUCUGUGAAGAAGAUUCCUAGUCUUGGAAGCCACUCCAGAUGGCUCAUCAUUCUCCUGUCUUCCCUUUUUGUGGAAGUUCAAAAAUCCUGCAGAUUUAGACGGGACUCGUUAUUACAAGAAACACAGUGACGUGAUCCACGGAAACCACAACAGGAUGGAAUGUUUUUGAACAUGCUUCAGAAUCACCUGAAAGAUUGUUGAAACACAGAUUCUAGGGCUUGAUCCACAGAAUGUCACUAGGUUGCAUUCUGAAAUGAGAAAGCAUUUCUAACCAUUCCCCAGGUGACGCUGAUGGUAAAGGACCAGGAAUCGAACUUGAAAAUGAGGAUUCUAUGAAAAAUGAGGCUGUGUGGUUCCAGCCCCUAGUUCACCAAAGUGGAAAUUUGUAGACUCCUGGAGGCAGAGGCAAGCUUUCACACGCUUCCCCUGAGUGUCUCUGCAAUGAGCAAGUCAGGCUAAUGGCUGACUUAGCUGGAGUCCUAGGCCUUCCACUGCUGAGGAGCCCUGUGAAGGCUCAACCCACCAAAACUGUCUAGCCACCUGCUUGUUCUGUCAGAACUUAUGCCAGAAAUACCCACAUAGUCAUCCCACAUCUCCUUCAAGUUUUUGGUCAAUGACCCUCUCAAAGAGGCCUCCCUUACUGCACUAUGUAAUAUCCAUACCAUAUGCUGCUUCUAAGCACAUUCAUCCUAUGUACUUUGCAUUGUGCCUACCACAUUCCAACCUACUAUAUGAUUUAGUAUUCCUUCUUUUAUGAUUGCUGUGUUUUCCUUGAAUAUAACCCCAGGAGGGUAGGAGUCUUCCUCCGGGGGUCCCUUUUGUGCCCCAGUGUCUCUCAUGGAUCUCCAAUAACGUCUUGAAGCCAAAUAUUUACUCACUGAUCAUUUGUUAGAACAGUGAAUAAAGACGACACCUCAGCUUCCCUGUAUGUUUUUACAUUUCUGCCCACAUUUUUUUUUUUUCCUUGAAGAUCAGCCCUGAGCCAACCACUGCCAAUCUUCCUCUUUUU